UCGGGCUGCUGCGGUGGCCUGCCGCCGCGGUGUCGCUGCGGCAGCGGAUGGCGUUCGUGCACCGGGAGUUGGGCGCCCCCUGGCCCGAU
rnacentral:tRNA from 1 species